AAAUCCUAAAAUGUCAUCCGUGACUUCCUGUGACCUCAUUAUGGUAGCCGGAGAGGGCCAAUUUUAAAAAAGAAAACAAAAAAAGAGUAAAAAAAGCGCUUGACAUCUGAAUGACCCGCUGGUGUAACAACCAUCACUCGUUUGUUUGGGUUUUCAAACACAAGAACACCAAGAUCGCGUGCAUAGUUUCGCAAAAGUUCAAAAUCCACCUGGGAUAAAAACUGGUUGUACAGGACACCUAAGAGGAAAUGGAGAAAUGUAUAUGAGAGACAAUGAUUAAAACAUUAUCAAAAUGUAUAAAUAAGGGGGUGGCUGAACAUUAAUGUCAGUUAUAUUUCUACAUAUGUAUAUUAACAACGUAGUACCCGUAUGCAAAAUAAAUGUCCUAAAAUGUCAAACUAAUUUUGCUACUAUAAUUUGCAUUGUACUGCAGUCCGGGGACACACCCAUUAAAAAGCAACUUGACUAUGUUUUGCUACAAUAAUUUGCAUUGUACUGCAGUCCAAGGACACACCCAUUAAAAAGCAACUUGACUAUG